GCACAAGUAAAAUUUAGAACCUUUCCAGAAGAGCUUUAUUGAAAUAAAGUCUACUAUAUUCAUAGAAAAAAUACAUAACUAGAGAUUCAUGAGAAUACCUUCCCAUCAUACUCAAAAGGGUGACCUAUCCAGUCUGUCUGAAAGCAUGUCAGGAUGUUACAAACAUUCUUUCAAAUGAGCCUACCACAUUGCAUAUGUACAUUUUUCACCGCUUAAAAAUAUGAUAGGAUACGAAAUCAAAAAGGUGGCUACUAUUGUCAAGGGCAUAACAAUUAGAUCUCGGGACAACCACUGCUGCGGACAAGGGGAGUAGAGAGACGAUCACUGCAAAAAAAUAUUAACAAUAUAACAAGUGAUUAAUCAGGGGUCGCUUGUGAGUGAACUUACUGCAUAAAAGAUAUCGUUUCCUUGUGUAACAUAUCAUGAAAAGGCUCACCUGUCGUCAGGCAUAAACGAAGAAAUUGGAACCAAUAAGCCCAUGAAGUCAUUCCAGUGCGCGUCAUUUCUGAAAUUGAUAAAGACACUAUUAACCAAACUACUCGUGCGACUAGAAUUUCCAAGGUGAAAAAAGAAUGACCACCAAUAGUCUGAUUCCGCUUCACCAAAAGUUUGAAGUUAGAACGUACAAUGGGUAAAAUUCAAACAUAAAUACAUUCACUAAAAGCCGCAACCAAAAGUAAGAAACAGGAAGAGGCACGUCUUGGUGAUAAGGAAGCAACAAAAGAGGAGCUAUGAUUCAUUAAUACACAGGAAAUGAAACUGAAUUCUCUUUGCUUAUACCCCAGUUGAGGGGCAUCCGAUAGAGUGCACCAGGUUGAUCUUUAGAUAGACUUGUCAGGACAACUUAACUCAACAGCAGAGUGAGUCCCACAAAAGCCUCAUCAUCUGAGAGUUAAAGAAUCAUCGGAAUAGACGAUCCAAGCAAGCGCUGAUUGCACUUCCUGCUCUUUCUAUCCGAAUAUUAGUUAUAACGAAUGUGAAUAUCUUUUUCCACAAAGUUUCAUAUCCAGCUGGUAGGUAACGCGUUUGAUAAGGACAAGAGAAGUUCGCAGAAGCAUUUGAGGAAAAGAAAACGCCACAAAAUGAACAUAAUCGAGCAGACAAAAGAAAAAGCUACAGUACACGGUCUGGCCACCGCAUUGUUGGCUGCCGAUGCCCAGUAUGUGAUGGGAGUCCACAGGUUCUCUGGAUACAAAUAAUCACCUGUUCUCGGUUCACCAGGGAAGCUCCUCUUCACAUCUGGCAGCCGACGAAAUUGCUCCGCACCGCUGCGAUGUAAACCCUCCUCAACUCGUCAAGGAUUUUCCAAAAACAGACUACUGGGAUCGGAAAGAGAGACAACGAGCGUGCCUGUGGGCGUGUGAGGCGAUGAAAGUUGUGGGAAGCAGCAACCAGGAGCUUCCUUCAUUAGCGCGCGCAGGGAGGAGAGAGAGAGAGAGAGAGAGAGAGAGAGA
rnacentral:lncRNA from 1 species